UAGGGAAUAUUAGUAAUGGGCGAAAGCCUGAACUAGCAACGCCGCGUGUGCGAAGAAGGCCUUUGGGUUGUAAAGCACUUUUUGAGAGGAUGAGGAAGGACGGUACUCUCAGAAUAAGUCUCGGCUAACUACGUGCCAGCAGCCGCGGUAACACGUAGGAGGCGAACGUUAUCCGGAUUUACUGGGCGUAAAGCGCGUGUAGGUGGUUUGGUAAGUAGGGCGUGAAAGCUCCUGGCUCAACUGGGAGAGGCCGUUCUAAACUGCCGAACUAGAGGAUGGUAGAGGGAGGUGGAAUUCCGGGUGUAGCGGUGGAAUGCGCAGAUAUCCGGAGGAACACCAGUGGCGAAAGCGGCCUCCUGGACCACUCCUGACACUCAGACGCGAAAGCUAGGGCAGCAAACGG
rnacentral:rRNA from 1 species